GUCUCUCAAAAUAAAUCAAUAAACAUUAAAAAAGAAAAUAAAAUUCCCUUAAGGUUCUGUAUGAAAUGUAAUUCUGGAUUUCCUUGAGCCUGAUUUCUCCAUGUUAUAUGUGGAAAGAAGUUAGCAGUUAUAGCAGGUGGUUUUCAAAGGAGCAAAUGGAAGAGUACAUUCUUUCACAGAAGCUUUAUAGGUGGAAGGGGCCUUCAGAAUCCUCUGAAUGUAAAUGAGGCUUACUGUUCACGUGAAGAAACUGUUUUCUCCAGAGUCACAAAACUAGUUAAUGACAGAGAAGGGAUUAGAGGCCAGCUCUUUUGAUUUCUGGGCCAAUAUUCCUUUUCCUCAGUAGAAGAUUAGAAACCUCUUAUUUUUUGUCUAAGUCUUCUGAAUAGCCUGCUGAGGCCAUGUAAAUUAUAUGCUGGAUAAAACAUAGGCUGACUUGAAAGGACACCUUUCCUUACAAGGUGGUGGGAGACAGGUCAGUGGGAUUGAGUGUGUUUUUAUUGCAGUCUUUCCAUGCCCAGUUGCUGACUGUCACAGGCUAGCCCAGAAGGAUGGGCAGGAUUAAAGGAUCUAUAGCUAGUCCCUCCCGGGCCAUCAUAUAACCACAGGUGUGGUUUUUCUUUUACUGUAGAUCAGCUACCAAGAGACUGCUCUGAGUGGAAACAACAUUCCCUUGAGGAGUUAGGGAAGAUGGGGAGGGCAGCUUAAGAUUCCAUGGAGUAAUAUGAGAAUUCUCUGCAACAGUGGAGUCUGGCAAUACUUCUGUCUUUGCCCAUCCUUAGUCUGCUCUCGAUUCUGAAAAUGCUAAGUGAAGGAUGCAAAAGAAAGACUAUUCCUUACACUUACCCCUCAGUGUAUGUUUGUGCCUGUUUGGGAGAAGAGAGAGCGAUGCUAGGUUCAUGAAAUUCCUACAUAUUAGUAGAGAUUGGAGGGUUUAGCUAGGAGAAAGCAAAGAAUACAUCAAUGGAAUAGGGGAAAAGAAUAAAUAAGAACUAGAGCUAAAAAUAAUUUCAGGUUGCUAAUCAUUAUAAAGCUGAUUAAUUUAAAAGAAGUUAAAAGUGCAGAUAAGAUCCUGGGUAGCUACUGCAUCACAGAAUCUUUGAGACCACAGUUUCCAGUCAGUAGAUGUUACCAGAAGAGUUAAUUAGCCCAAACUGUGGCUGCUAGUUCUUUAGCUGUCUUCAACUUGAAGGUUUUUUUUUUUAAUAAGUUUUAGAGCUAAUUAGGAUACACCUGGGACUCAUGGCUAAAGCCAAUAGAGUUUCCCCUGGGGGAGUUACUUUUUAUAUACCAAAAUUUAAAAAAAGGAAAAAUGUCAGAUGAAAACAUCAUCUUUAGAUUCAGGAAAAAAAAAUGGCAUAACCAUUUCAACUCAGCAGACCACAAGGCCAAACAAGCUUUGGCUAGAAUUGAAUGCUGUGUGCUUCUGUUCAGAGAAGAGGAUGCUUCCCAGAUGUGUCUGGGGGACUACCUGCCUCACUCUUAUUUAUCAUCAGCUCUCACACAGGAUGUGGUGUCGCUGGCUGGUAAUCUGGAAAUGGCCUGUUUAUUUUUACAGAUCUGUAGAAGAGACUCAAUAGUUGUAAAGGAUGGAAGAGUGCAAAGCAGCUUGGAACUCACAACAAAGGAAACCGGGACGAAAAAAAUUAGAUAAAACAACUGUGACCAUGGGAUCUGCUCCUUGUGCCUGUCGAACAAAGGUGCUAAAUGGAUUUUCUCAUUUCAAAGGAAAGCCAAUUCUUCCUCCCAACCCUGCAGCCCAUGAUUGUAGAACAUCCAGACACCAUUUUUUUUUUUUUUUUUUUUAAGUUCAGGGAACCUUGGUAUUCUUUUCAACACCAGGACUGGUUGGUUCCUUUAUGAGUUUCCUAAAGAAAAGAAACCUGCCCCACCAGAGCUGCUUAGGCUGGUGAUUCUCUGUCUCAACCAGGCCUUUCUGGAUAAUUUCCCUCAUGUUAAAACCCCGCAGCAGACUGGAGAAAGAGGAUUCUCCAAAUGCUUGGCUGGGAUAGUGUUGCUGCUAAGUUCCUGCUUCUCCUGAAGUGUUAUCCUGAGUGUAACAACUUUCUGUUCUCUCUCCUGAGAAGAGAUAUGCCUGAGUUCUUGCAGUACCCUGGGACACAAUUCAUUAUGGCCAGAAUGGAUUUGCUGUACAUAGGAGUCAUACUUCUAACCUGCCAUGUCCAUAGGUAUGUGAGGAUCUAGGAUGAAGCUGAGAGAAUUCUAUCCUGCUGGUUCAUACUCAGAAGGUCUCUAAGCCCACUGAUGACAGGAAAAUCUUCAGUGGUUCCAGAGACAAGCUGCUGGAAAUCCUGCACAUUUAUCUUCUAGAAGGAAGUGAGCUGAGUAGGAUAGUGGUACCUUCAGAAGGUACCUACCCCAAAACUUGAAAGAACUCCAAAGUAAACCAUGUCCAUUUCCUGGACCCUAAAGUGGCUCAUGAAAGUCAGGGUCCACUUGCUUAAGGUUAGGUGAUUUCAAGCCUUGAGAUUCUAAGGGGAGAGUGAAGGUGGGAAAGGGGAUGGUGAAUAGAUUGUGAGGACUUAUCAAAUCAUAGGACGUCUCUUUAAUUCCAAGCAUCAUGUUCUAUUUCACAUUGUAUCUUUCAAUUAAAAAAAGGAUAAGGAAAUGUG